UACAGAGGUCCCGAGCGUUGUUCGGAUUCAUUGGGCGUAAAGGGUGCGUAGGCGGCGGGGCAAGUCUGAUGUGAAAUCCCGGGGCUCAACCCCGGAACUGCAUUGGAUACUGCCUUGCUAGAGUACUGGAGAGGGAACUGGAAUUUACGGUGUAGCAGUGAAAUGCGUAGAGAUCGUAAGGAAGGCCAGUGGCGAAGGCGAGUUCCUGGACAGUUACUGACGCCGAGGCACGAAGGCCAGGGGAGCAAACAGG
rnacentral:rRNA from 1 species